GGGGCUGACUUGGAUUUCGACAGAUUUCUUGUCGCACAGACAGCAUGCCAAGUGCUGCUUGUAAAACAGCAACAAAAAUAACUGUAAACAACACAGAUUACGCUCCAGCUUACGCUAAAGCUGCGUGAGUUAAUCUCCUUUUGGAGCUGGACUGAUUAGAAUUUCUAGCGUUUUAAUCACUCCAUAACCUUAAGCUAGACGCUUUUAAAAGGUGGUUCGCCUUUUAAACUAAGAGACAAGAACUCUUGAAACUAUCUCAAGGUUUUAGAAAGUUGGACCAGAGCUAGUUUUAAGGCUAAAAAACCAACCAAUUUUCUAAGCAUUGUAGAAGUUUGUGUUUAGGGCAAGAUUUUUGGACUGGGGUUCGAUUCCCCACAGCUCCACCA
rnacentral:tmRNA from 1 species